AGAGAGAGACAUGCGCGCAUAUCAAUAAGCGGAGGAAAAGAAACUAACAAGGAUUCCCUUAGUAACGGCGAGUGAAGCGGGAAGAGCUCAAAUUUGAAAUCUUCAAGGUUUUACCUUGACGAAUUGUAGUUUAAAGAAGUGUUUUCUGCUGAAGUUUUGGUAAAGUUCUUUGGAAUAGGACAUCAUAGAGGGUGAGAAUCCCGUAUUUGACCAUUAUUUUCAGCUUUGUGAUACACUUUCAAAGAGUCGGAUUGUUUGGGAAUGCAGUCCAAAAUGGGUGGUAAAUUUCAUCUAAAGCUAAAUAUUGGCGAGAGACCGAUAGCGAACAAGUACCGUGAGGGAAAGAUGAAAAGAACUUUGAAAAGAGAGUUAAACAGUACGUGAAAUUGUCAAAAGGGAAGCGUUUGACACCAGUGUUGUUUUCUCGAAAAUCAAUUAAAAAUGGCUCGAUUUUGUAUUGCUUGAGACCUUAAAAGCUCACCGUACAUUUUUCGUGUCUUUUUUAAUGCACUUUUCGUUUAACAAGUCAACAUCAGUUUCUUUUGUUGUAAAAGGGUCAUUGGAAGGUGGCUUUCUUUUCGGAGAAAGUGUUUAUAGCCUUUGGCCUCCGCAAUCGGAGAGACUGAGGUCUGCAGCGUAGACUCUUCGGGGUUAGAUACAUUCGUGCUAAGUUAUAGCUUUUUAUAGACAACUUGUUGACUAUAAUUAGUCUUGUAGCUUACUCGCUUAUGCUAUUUUACCUACGCUUAGGAUGUUGAAGAUGUAGCACAUCAU
rnacentral:rRNA from 1 species